rfam:Rattus norvegicus chromosome 7, whole genome shotgun sequence.
UGGCUCAGCAGUUAAGAGCACUGGCUGCUCUUCCAGAGGUCCUGGGUUCAAAUCCCAG